UACAGAGGGGGCAAGCGUUAUUCGGAAUUAUUGGGCGUAAAGGGCGCGUAGGCGGCCUGGCAAGUGGAAGGUGAAAUCCCUCGGCUUAACCGAGGAACUGCCCCUCCAAACUGCUUGGCUUGAGUCCGGGAGAGGUGAGUGGAAUUCCCAGUGUAGCGGUGAAAUGCGUAGAUAUUGGGAGGAACACCAGUGGCGAAGGCGGCUCACUGGACCGGAACUGACGCUGAGGCGCGAAAGCGUGGGGAGCAAAGCGGG
rnacentral:rRNA from 1 species